GAUGAACGCUGGCGGCGUGCCUAAUACAUGCAAGUCGAGCGAACAGACGAGGAGCUUGCUCCUCUGACGUUAGCGGCGGACGGGUGAGUAACACGUGGAUAACCUACCUAUAAGACUGGGAUAACUUCGGGAAACCGGAGCUAAUACCGGAUAAUAUACUGAACCGCAUGGUUCAAUAGUGAAAGACGGUUUUGCUGUCACUUAUAGAUGGAUCCGCGCCGCAUUAGCUAGUUGGUAAGGUAACGGCUUACCAAGGCGACGAUGCGUAGCCGACCUGAGAGGGUGAUCGGCCACACUGGAACUGAGACACGGUCCAGACUCCUACGGGAGGCAGCAGUAGGGAAUCUUCCGCAAUGGGCGAAAGCCUGACGGAGCAACGCCGCGUGAGUGAUGAAGGUCUUCGGAUCGUAAAACUCUGUUAUUAGGGAAGAACAAAUGUGUAAGUAACUAUGCACGUCUUGACGGUACCAAAUCAGAAAGCCACGGCUAACUACGUGCCAGCCGCCGCCGUAA
rnacentral:rRNA from 1 species